CCGUAAAAUUUAUGCGUUAUCUCAGUUUUGGUCACUCGAGCCUUGUGCCACGACAACGCCUACUCUACCAGAUCCGGGGACAUCCUCGACGGCACCCUGUGCUUCGCCAUGAUCCUACCGUGCGCGCGCUCCGCCUCCUCCCUCGAUAUCACCAGCACCCUGUCGUUGACAAAGUCGAGCCUGAGGAAUUUUCCCCCCUUCGCCCCCGUCCCCUUCUCCACCUCCGCCUUGAGCUCCCUCAGACUCUUCACCUCCCUCCCGUUCACCGCCCUGACCUCUAGGUCGUGCAUCCCCUGAUACCCCGCGUUGACCUCGUCCGCCAACACCUGCGAGAGGAUGACAACCUCCUGGCCCGGGGAGGUUGGGUGGUCGUUAAGAGCCCUGUCGACCAGCCGCCUCGGAGCGGUGUUGAACCAG
rnacentral:lncRNA from 1 species